GGGGAAUUUUCCGCAAUGGGCGAAAGCCUGACGGAGCAAUACCGCGUGAGGGAUGACGGCCUAUGGGUUGUAAACCUCUUUUUUCAGGGAGGAAUCAAUGACGUGCACCUGAAGAAUAAGCAUCGGCUAACUC
rnacentral:rRNA from 1 species